rnacentral:lncRNA from 1 species
UUCAUUGGGUGUUUUUUUCAAAAUUGGUCUAAUUAAAUCAUGCCUUAGUCGUUCUCCAGGGACAGCUCAAGGGAUGCCCCACUCAAGGUUUCCUCAUCUUUUCAAAUAUAAUUCAUGGGUCAUUUUGUUUGGAAACUCCUUUCUCCUAAAUCCCACAGGCCAUCCCAUUUUAUUUUCCUUCUUUUCAAAUAGAAUUCAUGGGUCAUUUUGUUUGGAAACCCCUUUCUCCUAAAUCCCACAGGCCAUCCCAUUUUAUUUUCCUUCUUCCAUCAAAACCCCUUCAACCCCACAUCGAACCCUCUUCUCUACUAAAAAUCCCUA